AACGUAGGAGACAAACGUUAUCCGGAGUUACUGGGCGUAAAGGGCGUGUAGGCGGUUUGUUAAGUCUGGCGUGAAAGCUCUCGGCUAAACCGGGAGAGGUCGUUGGAUACUGGCAAACUAGAGGACGGUAGAGGCGUGUGGAAUUCCGGGUGUAGUGGUGAAAUGCGUAGAGAUCCGGAGGAACACCAGUGGCGAAGGCGACACUCUGGGCCGGUACUGACGCUGAGGAGCGAAAGCGUGGGGAGCAAACAGG
rnacentral:rRNA from 1 species